UUCAAUACAUUAUAAAGUUGGAGAUGAGGAGAUGAAGGAUUGACACAAGUUCAACAAAGCAAGAAAUGGCUCGCAAUGUCUUCCAACUCCUCUGUGUCGUCUUCUUGUCUAUCCUCCUCCUCUUAAAUCAUCAGAAGGAAUCAGCACUAUCCAAACGUAGGAUGGACAUUAAAGAUACGAUAAGUGGGCCUCCCCCACCUCCCGGAAGUCACGGACCCGGAACUCAUGGAAAGAAGAAGCGCUGAAAGCGAAGGAAGAAACAUCAGCUAUAAUAUCAUGCAAAUAGGAUGCUCAUAGGAAACAUCCAAAUCUAUCAGACAUACAUUACUUGGGCCUCUGUCUUGUUUUUUCUGUUGUCUGUUUUGUCCAGGAAAUUCCAUGAAUCAUAUAACCUGUUAACUGAUUAAGAUACACAAUCUCUAGUUAUCAUUUCUUCAAAUUUAUAUUAAUAUUGGUCUCAUUCUAAGAGUAUCAUCAUUAGGGAUGUAAUUAGUUCGGUACGUUCGGUAUUUAGGUAAAGUUUUUUAUCAAA